GAGGCUAGAUCCCCGAAAAUAUCUUCGCAGCAGACGAAACACGUCGAAGCGCGGGAGUAGUGUAAGUUCGAUGCGAAAGAUUCUAUAUUUCCAUGUCUACUAGAUAUCAGUAUCUUUAACUGUGAUCUUGAUUUCGGAAAAUUUUGUUUUAAUAAUGACUUUUGUAUGCUGUCAUAUGCUGUCGCCAAAGUUGGCGUUGUUUGGAAUUUUCAGCCAGAUACGAACUUUUGAAAGCAUGGGAAGAGACAUUGUGUGGAACAAUUCUACUCACUGAAUGAAUGUCUUCAAUCUAUGCGAAGAUAAUGCCUUAAUUGAAAACAGGACUUCAGGAGGACUUAACACAUUCGCUGCUGAGAGACAUUUUCAAAGACGGUUCCACCAGGCCGACAAAUUUUAAUUAAUUGUAAAAUAAAAAUACAAAACAUGCAUUAAAUUUAGAUAAUUUUUAAUUGCUUUAUUAAUUAUAGGAGUUGUAUCAUAGAUUAUUUUUGCGAUAAAAUAUUUUAUAACAGCGCUAACUACGAGUAUACUUGUAACGAGUGUAUCGUAGUUGGCGGUUCUUAUAAUAAAGAUUGAUUAUUUUUACAACAA